UCCCUAGUGGUCCAGUGGUUAGGACUCUGCACUCCCACUGCAGGGGGUCUGGGUUCAAUUCCUGGUCAGGGAU